rnacentral:rRNA from 1 species
GAUGAACGCUAGCUACAGGCUUAACACAUGCAGGUCGAGGGGAAACGAUAUUGGAAGCUUGCUUCCGAUAGGCGUCGACCGGCGCACGGGUGAGUAACGCGUAUCCAACCUGCCCACCACUUGGGGAUAACCUUGCGAAAGUAAGACUAAUACCCAAUGAUAUCUCAAGAAGACAUCUGAAUGAGAUUAAAGAUUUAUCGGUGAUGGAUGGGGAUGCGUCUGAUUAGCUUGUUGGCGGGGUAACGGCCCACCAAGGCGACGAUCAGUAGGGGUUCUGAGAGGAAGGUCCCCCACAUUGGAACUGAGACACGGUCCAAACUCCUACGGGAGGCAGCAGUGAGGAAUAUUGGUCAAUGGGCGAGAGCCUGAACCAGCCAAGUAGCGUGCAGGAUGACGGCCCUAUGGGUUGUAAACUGCUUUUAUAAGGGAAUAAAGUGAGCCUCGUGAGGCUUUUUGCAUGUACCAUAUGAAUAAGGACCGGCUAAUUCCGUGCCAGACGCCGCGGUAA